rnacentral:rRNA from 1 species
AUUGACCGCUGGCGGCAGGCCUAACACAUGCAAGUCGAGCGGUAGAGAGAAGCUUGCUUCUCUUGAGAGCGGCGGACGGGUGAGUAAUGCCUAGGAAUCUGCCUGGUAGUGGGGGAUAACGUUCGGAAACGGACGCUAAUACCGCAUACGUCCUACGGGAGCAAGCAGGGGACCUUCGGGCCUUGCGCUAUCAGAUGAGCCUAGGUCGGAUUAGCUAGUUGGUGGGGUAAUGGCUCACCAAGGCCACGAUCCGUAACUGGUCUGAGAGGAUGGUCAGGCACAAUGAAACUAUGACAGUGUCCAGACUCCUACAGGAGGCAGCAGUGGGGAUUAUUGGGCAAUGGGCGAAAGCCUGAUCCAGCCAUGCCGCGUGUGUGAAGAAGGUCUUCGGAUUGUAAAGCUCUUUAAGUUGGGAAGAAGGGAAGUAAAUUAAUACUUUGCUGUUUUGACGUUACCGACAGAAUAAGCACCGGCUAACUCUGUGCCAGCCGCCGCCGUAA